AGUGAACGCUGGCGGUAGGCCUAACACAUGCAAGUCGAACGGCAGCACAGUAAGAGCUUGCUCUUACGGGUAGCGAGUGGCGGACGGGUGAGGAAUACAUCGGAAUCUACUUUUUCGUGGGGGAUAACGUAGGGAAACUUACGCUAAUACAGCAUACGACCUACGGGUGAAAGCAGGGGAUCUUCGCACCUUGCGCGAUUGAAUGAGCCGAUGUCGGAUUAGCUAGUUGGCGGGGUAAAGGCCCACCAAGGCGACGAUCCGUAGCUGGUCUGAGAGGAUGAUCAGCCACACUGGAACUGAGACACGGUCCAGACUCCUACGGGAGGCAGCAGUGGGGAAUAUUGGACAAUGGGCGCAAGCCUGAUCCAGCCAUACCGCGUGAGUGAAGAAGGCCUUCGGGUUGUAAAGCCCUUUUGUUGGGAAAGAAAAGCAGCAGGUUAAUACCCCGCUGUUCUGACGGUACCCAAAGAAUAAGCACCGGCUAACUUCGUG
rnacentral:rRNA from 1 species